rnacentral:ncRNA from 1 species
UUGCGGGUGGUGUUGCGUUUAUGCGUGAAGCUUGGGUCCGUGUGCGCAUCCCGGAACCUCCCGUCUGCAA